CAGUCGCCGCGGUAAUACGGAGGAUCCAAGCGUUAUCCGGAAUCAUUGGGUUUAAAGGGUCCGUAGGCGGUCUUGUAAGUCAGUGGUGAAAGCCCAUCGCUCAACGGUGGAACGGCCAUUGAUACUGCAGGACUUGAAUUAUUGGGAAGUAACUAGAAUAUGUAGUGUAGCGGUGAAAUGCUUAGAGAUUACAUGGAAUACCAAUUGCGAAGGCAGGUUACUACCAAUUGAUUGACGCUGAUGGACGAAAGCGUGGGUAGCGAACAGGAUUAGAUACCCGUGUAGUCCCUGUCUCUUAUAC
rnacentral:rRNA from 1 species